rnacentral:rRNA from 1 species
UACGUAGGGGGCUAGCGUUAUCCGGAAUGAUUGGGCGUAAAGCGUCCGCAGGUGGCUAUGUAAGUCUGCUGUUAAAGAGUGAGGCUCAACCUCAUAAGAGCAGUGGAAACUACAUGGCUAGAGUGCGUUCGGGGCAGAGGGAAUUCCUGGUGUAGCGGUGAAAUGCGUAGAUAUCAGGAAGAACACCGGUGGCGAAAGCGCUCUGCUAGGCCGCAACUGACACUGAGGGACGAAAGCUAGGGGAGCGAAUGGG